GUGUAAAUAUCGUUGUGUUGUUCCUGGCUCCUCAGAGGACUCAGAGUUGCUGUGAGUUGUGUGUGUGUCCAGGUGCAAAUGGCUCCAGCCUGUGACUUUCUCUGGGACAGCUGACAACAGCAUCUGAUAACGUUGCCAAAGGCUUCCAGUGAAUCAUGGAGCUGGAAAAAUCUUGUCCGCUGUCAGAUUUGUCCAUUUGUCCACUGUCCAUUUGUCAGAUGUUCAAAUAUCAUCUCCCUGAUUCUGGGAAAUUAGGAACAGUGAAGCCGAGGUCUUUUUGAAGUGUAUUACGCUAUCCUUCUGAUGUUGGUGUUAUUUUUUAAGUGCAAAAACUGCCGAGCUGACGCCAGUUAUCAGGAAGCACCAGAAUAAAACUGCACACUGUGGUGCUGCUCUUAUCCAAGAGCAUGGAGCUCUGCUGAUGCAUCCUGCUCCACAGAGAGCUGAGAUGGAGUGAGAAGGAACAAGAAAAGGACCGUGACAAGGAACACAUCUGAAGGCCUUCACUGCAAGCCCAACAGGCAACAUGAUGGGAACAAUCAAACUCCAGGUGUGGAGCCAAUAUGCCCCUGAUUGUGACAGUGCGUGUGGAUCGACUGCUGAAAACCUCAUCUGUAUGAAACAGGCUUCAGAGCUGACACUAAGAGCUCUUGGCUUGAUUUGACUCAUGAUCUAACAGCAAGCAGAAACUGGAAGUUCUGCUGUUGCUUCUGUCAUGGUGGCGACAAAGGCUCGCGCGUGUCUGAGCACUGACUGCAGACUGACAGCCCUCUCUCAGUUACUUAUCAUUUAAAAGACAUAGUAAGAAAAAGGGUUAAUACAGCUUAUCUCUGUAUCCAACUCACUAGUUUAGGUGCUAUUUGCUUAUUUUGGAGAGGUCAAUAAGUUGGCUACAAAGCAGAAUGCUGUUUUUCAAAACCACUCAAGAACAACAGAUAGAGUGAUUUCACGGAUUGUGGUUUCACCAUACUUUUAUUGCCACCUGUGCCUGUAUUUCAAGGCACACUGUCUGGUCUGCCACUGUGCACUAUCAUUCAGUAAAUAUCCAUGCCUGCAAAUAAAUUAAUUCAGCCAAAGACGUGGCUCGAGGCAAUUUUUGCAAACAUGAGUUCCUGAAGUGUCAUUCCAGAUUCUGGAAAAGCUACAGGCCUUCAGAAAAAUUUAACAUCUGUGGGACAUGGAUUCUUCCUGCUGUGUUUUGUGUAGUGCUAGGGUUUGCAAUGGGUUUUGGUCUCAGCCAGGCCUGCUGUGAUAGAAGCAAGAGAAAAAGUACUUGCAAAAUAGGCAUUUAGAAAGUUCCAGGCAUGUCAAGAGAGUCCGUUUUCCCUCAAAAUUAGCACAGCUGAAGAUCUAAUAAUCUCAAAUCAGUCAGGCACUGACUUCCCUGGGGUUAUUCCUAUUGAUAAGCACCUGUGCUGAGUCAAACCAUGUGGACAGUGCAAAAAAGAAAAAAUCCCCUCUUCUCACAUUCAGCAAGGACUGGCUCCUGUAGCCUGGCGUUUGGCAGCCCCCUGGGACUUGGAGCUGGAAGGAGAUUUCCAUAUUGAAAAUCCAAGGAUCCGGUAAUUCAUGUUCCUCUGCAGCACUUACUACAAGCACAUCAGCGUAUCAUCUUUUUUUGAUACAUCUGCCCUAACUUUUCUGGAGAUCUAGUGUGUUCGUAUCUAACCAGAUCAAGAUUUACAAUGAGAAUAUUCUACCUCUAAAUAAACUUCCCGGCAUGGAAGAAGCUGAAAGCCCUUGAGUCGGUUUUGAGAUUCUUGGAUUGCAGAAAAGUAUUCUAAUUGGUUGUUUUGCUGCACUGAUAUAGUGGGUAACUCCUAAAAUUAACUUGUCAUUCUUUGAAGGCUGCAAUUCUCCAAACUUGAUGAGCCUGUGAUGAUAAUUAUUGAUCUGGAGAGGUUUCAUUUCUGAAAAGUCACUUUAUGCUGCCCUUCUCUCUGCCAGCCAUUGAGCCACUGUAAUGCAGUAUCAUCCCUCUGACAGUGCUUAAAUAAAAGCAGCUGAGUUAUGAUGCGUGACAACUUCGUGGAAGCUUCCCUGGGCUGUUCCCAUUUGUAUAACUAGAGGCCCAGAUUUGCCAACUAAAGAAACAGUCAGGAAUCAGUUUUAUAACCUGAGGAAUGUGUGGCAUCUUCCUUCUUAGCUUUCUGAACUCUUUUGCUGAUACUUCUGUAUUACCAAUUCAUCCCAUCCGAUUUCAGAUACUUUGUUUAGGCGCCGGCCAGUGAUGUAGUCACUCUAGAUUCCCUCAAUCAUCUCUGGAAGACAGAAAGACCUCUCCAGGCAUUGCUUCCAUCCACCUCAAAUGCCAGCCAUUGUCUGAGGGCACCAUUCUCUCUCCAUUGAAUGCACAUAAACCUUAGAGAGAUAGUGCUCCUCAUUCAGAUAUGUAAGGGGCCUACAGCCGAGUGGAAAGAGAAAUCCCGAUCCAGGUUUCCUGCUGUACUUUGAAGUGCUUUGAAAAUGCCUAAGAUGACUGAAGAAGCACAGAGAGCAGGGGUUUGCUCAUUCACCUUGAAUCAAAAUAAUAACAAUAAUAAUAAUAAUAAUGGCUUAUCUAAAUAGUGACUGUUACUCUCACUGUAGCUCACCUCAAGUGAUUGCAUUGCUUAGGAGCAGGUGUUUCUCCAAAGUCUGCAGAGAGCUCUGUCAGCUGUUUGCUUGGAGGGGACAAAAGGACGGGGAAUGAUGUAGUGCUUACGUCAAUACUGCACUGUCCUGCAACCACACGGAGCUCUGCCCCAUACCCAAAUACUGCUAGUAUGGUUAAAAAGCAUAUAUACAUUUAAAAAUGCUGCUAUCAUUGCUGAGUUCUACUGCUAAUUGACUUGCAUGCUUCCCUUUUGUUUUUGUCCAUGGAUCCUCUGUGUGCCUUAAUGCUCUCACCUCCAUUCUCUGCUUUGAAGUCAUGAGCAGAUGCUGACAGGAAGAGCUUCAAAUUAGGUGAUCUACAGUGAUGCUCUCUCCUUAUCAGACAGCAACAAGUAUACCCAACAAUUUACUUACAGUCUUGUCAGGUGUAUUUUAUACAUCAUUUGUUAGAGGAAUAAAAUGCAUCCUCUCCUCAUUUAGUUGCAAGCAUAGCAACUAAGCUAUUACAGCACAGAUGUCAGGUUUUGCAAAUGGAUCAUUUCCAGUUUACUCCCAUGCAUUACCCUAAUCAAAACUUCCAGCGUUCCAAGGAACCCUCUGCUUUCACACAAAGUGGAGGCAAAAAUGAUCCCAAGCUGAAAUAGGAGGCCAAUUUUGUCCUUGUGUCAAAAGACUGCCAGCUAGGGAAGAGCAAGGUGUUUGGUUCCCAGUGUCACUCUUUACACCAUGAAGCUGCAAAAACAACCCUCACUGCUGGGGUCAUCUCUGCCAGCUCAGCUGAGAGGACUGGCAAGGAGUGAGAUACACACUGAGGACAGUGGCCGAUUAUUUUCAUGUCAGUAAUACACUGAGCACACUCAGUUUACCAGGGAAGAAGCAGAGCUUUCAAGGGGCUGGGUACAGCCAAGGAGAAUGCUCUUUUGAUUUACAUCUUCUAGCACUCUUGUCACAUGCAUAAGUGCUAUGAAAGCAGCAUGUCUGCGGAUGAUGGUUAUUGCAGCUCAGAAUACAUUACUGAUUUCUUUAAAAAGUCAUUUUCACAGAGGAAUUGAUCAAAUGUAACAAAGGCUGUCUUGGCUCACAUGCACAGAGAACAGCUCUGGCUCUCAGGAACCGUCAUAAGGUGAGAUACAGUUGGUACAAGCCAGUAAUACUUCAGAAAUACCUGACACCACUUGUGGAAACAUAACCCUCGGAGGCUAUGCAGUCUACCAACAUGCUAUUCUCUGCAACUUGUCCUUACUUGCCACCGCCGUGUUUGAAACUGUUUGCCUAAGUGGAUAACUGUUCUGUUUUCAGAUUUCGGUUCACUUUAAGACCUGCAUCCACUUCAGGCUCCGCUUCUCCCAGCACCGCACACAGCCACAUCCCAAACAGCAGAGCCCACUGUCCGUCCCGGACCCUCAGUGUCUGUCAGUCCGUGUGCUGCAGCAGCCCAGAGGCAGCCAGCUGGCACUGGGGUGUGCAGCUGUGGGCACGGGGCUGUGAGUGCAGCUGGCCGCGGUCACAAGGCUCCAGGAACAGGCGCUGGAUUGAACGAGGAACGGCGUGGCUGCAGCCGCUGUGUCUGCCACGAGGGUUUUGUUUGAGUAGUUCUUAAGCACGGCUGCUCUAGCUUUCUGUGUUGGCAGAGAGAGAGAGAAAAAAAAAAGGGUGAUGCUGAGGUCAGUCAGCUGGGGUUGAAGGAAAAUGCAGGGGAAAUUCCACACUACUGAUCAGACUUGUACUACCAGGUCAGGCAUCAAGAGUUCGUGUAGGUAGGUGUAUCUGGGAUUUUCUGGGUACUUCCAGAAAGUACAAGAGCUCAGGAUACUCAGAAUUAUUCAUUUAGUCCUUCUAUUUCUUUUCGAACAGGAUUGAAAUCUAUCAGAGAUGUAUGAAAGCUGUGCCCUGUUUUUCCUCUAAGGUUUGCAUUAAUUGAGGGAAAAGGGAUGACAGAAAGAAUAUCAGGCUUAAUGGAGUUUGGAAUAGCUUUAUGUAGUCAUUAAGCAGCAUAAAAUAAUACAUCUCCAAUGGCAAGCAUUGUCUCUAUGGCCAAACGCAGGGCUCUGAAGGUCAAGGCAAUGCAGAGAGCCGUGAAUGGCAUAUUGUCUAUAUCUGUGUGCAUGACUUAUUGUCACUGUGCUUACUGCCUCCCUUUUCUUAGUAAAUUCAGUCAACGUACAGAGCUUUAAUGGUUACUUCAUCAAUAUGUGGUGCUGUAGAAUUGUCUUUAUUUGCUGUAUAUUGCUGCUUAUCAAAAGAAAUGUCUCACGGGGAUGCAGCAGAUAUUUGUAGCAUUCUUUUUGCAACUAAAUAUUAAUCUUUUAAGCUGAAAGAUAAAGUGAAAUAAAUUAAUCUUUUAAUUUUAGACACCUGGCCUUUUCGUAAGUAGUCAGCCUUUAAAUUCUGUCGUUUACUUGUGCUAAAAAUGAAGAUUUUAUUAGAGAUGAGCGGGGCUGAACAGUCACUGACAAACCUGACACACACCAAUUUACUCCUGAGAAAGCAAUUACUGUCUGUGAAACAAAGAGACGCCCAAUGCAGCAUUCAGUUUGUGGAAGUAAGGUCUUACUUUCAUACCAAGACCAGUUUACAAAUCCGCGCUCUUCAGAGAAAGAAACUAGCAUAAAGAAAAACAUAAAGAAUGAAGAGUCAAGGAGAAUAUCCUGAUAAACAUACUCUGUCCAGCUGAGCAAGGUAUGGGAGCACCCAGCACUUGCACCACAGUGCUAGUCAUGGAGCUGACACAUUGGUUACUCACAUGAAGCCUAUAUGGAAAAGCAGGAACAUUCUUAUCUUGAAAAUAUGACAUUUUACUUGGUAGAAUGAAGGUGCUCCUUAGAUCCAUGGCUAUAGGAAGCACUUCUGUUCGGAUUUUUACCAUGUCUACUGGCUGAUUCAGAAACUGGAAUGAAAAAUCCAGGGCACCACAAUGACUUGAAAUAGCUCUAGUUUAAUGUGGUAGCUUAGCAUCAAGCAUGAGAAAAAGUAGGCAAAAACACUUCCUAUAUAAAGAUAUGCAAUACUGCAUUUUUACUGCAUUAAUGUCCUGUGGAUCAGUCUCUGUGAAGUGCCAUUGUGCUAUGGAACGUGAGGGAGUUCUAUAAUGUAGCUUAACUUCAUCAUAAAUGUGUUUUCUGGACUUGAACAAAUGCAUGUUUAAUGAGGGAGGAGGGACGAUAGGGCUUGUCAAUUUGCAGCAUUGGGAUAAUGAAGAACAGCCAUUUUGCAACUUAACAGUCAAUUUGCAACAUUGGGAAAUGAAUGGAGGUUCACUUCCCUGGGAUCAUUCAACAGAAAGACGGGGGUAAUAUGUUUACCCAAUAACGGCUCUGUCUAGUGGAUGUUUCUGCUGUAGUGGGCUUCAGAUGUGGCCUUUAGGGAGACAGCUAUCUAUCAGAGCAAAAGUGUAGAACCAUUAUUUGAUUUUUUUUGCAAAUGGUGUUUCCUUCCAUAUAGCAGUAAUGGCACUUUUUCCAUUGGGAAUUGCAGCUGAUGUCAAGUGGACGAUGUGCACCUAUAGAAAUGAACUAGUGGCUUGAGAAAAGAGCAAACUGUUUGUACAACAGUAGACAGACCAAUGUCAAAGAGGUUCAAAUACUCAUCUGAAAGGAUCAGUGUACAAGAACAUGGCAGCAGCUCUUGGUCUGCUGCCGUCCUUUGAACGCAGGCCUUAGUAGGACAAGCAGAGCUCAGCUCCCAGCCCCAGAGAAGGGAACUGAGAUAGAGUGCUUUUUUCUCUGCAUUUUAAGUCAGGCUCCAAUCAGGAUUUUAAUCACAUCUUUAGUGGAACUUCCAACCUAUGGGUAAGACCUCUCAUUUGCUGAUCACCUAGCCCUCGCACACUGAAUGUGCCAGCCCAUCAGUGCACACACCUGGAGCACCCCAGGGAUCCAGCAGACAUUGCCAGGUUGCAGUCAGACCUGGCAUCUGUCUGUGGCCGUGGGUAUCUGUCUCAGAAGGGCUUUCUCAGCACCAGAAUGAUUCCCAGAAGACAGACAAAUGUGUCAGACGUCUGUGUGGCUUUCUGGUUUUCAGCCCUAGUGCUGGCUGCGGUGUCCUUGGGUGCACCUUUUAUUUACGAAUAACUUGUUCUGUCUAUGCUGCCAACUGCUCCACAUUCAAAACUGUCAUAAAAAUGUUCAGGGCCAGUGGUCAUCUCCCUGUCUUUGGUAGUUCUCAGGAAGCUUGUUUUGAUGGCAGCAAGUCACAUCCUUAGAGCGUGCUUCCCUCAUCAAAGCAGAAAUACAGAUAAGAAAAAGAUGUCCAUGGGGAUGUUAGCAGACUGUAUGCUUGGAAGCGACGCAAAAUAACUUGAAGCAGACUUAGAAAACGUUCAGUAUUUACCAUUGCAGUAAAUAGCAAAGGAACAAGAAUAAAUUGUACUGUGAUAGGAUUCUCAACAAGCUAUAGAUCCAUCAUUCUAUCCUUACCCUUGUUUGCUUGGAGUUUCGAAACUUUGCAUGGUAUGUAAAAGUACAAUAAAACAUAUUGCUCGUCCUUUAGGAGAGGCAAUUAUUCUGCUACUGGAGGAAUGCCAGCUUUUGCUUUCCUCCCAGUCGGAGUUGCUUCAAGAUGAAGCCACACUUGUCCUUUAUUUUCCACCCCACGUUUCCAUGGUAACAGCAUGUAACCACUUUUGUAAAUAGCAACUACCCAGUUAACUUCACACAACAUUCAGCUACUUUGAACAUUUUUUGCAUGUUUUUAACCUCCUUCAAAUGUCCCACUCCGUUUGCUUGGUUUUACUACCAGCACAUUUAAUUAUUAGGGGAUAUUUCUGUUUACGUGAUCUUCAGUGAUGCAGCAGCACUGCAUGUGUGUGAGUGUGCACUGUGUGUACGUGUCCAGGCGCACACACAUACGCACAUCAUUUACCUAUGAUGAACAUUCUCUGGCACAUUCCAAUGUAAAUCUUUAUUUUACAAUUUCUUAUAACUGAAUUCCAUUUCAGAAAAUUCUCUUGUGCUGAUAAUUUGAAGUUUGAGCAUUUUGUCACUUGUAGCCAGGUAGAAGACAGCAAUACUUUGUCUUCAAGGAGAAGAUUCUUACAGCUAUUUCAGCAGCAAACACUGGGACAUUUAUUCUGUAGGGCACAUGGGUCAAUGCCUUGCUGUCACAGACAAGACUUUUUGCUGUCCUACUCAACACAUAUUUGGCCAAGCUUUAAUCCUCUGAAAAAUUUCAGCUCUCACAUUGCCUUGCUAAAAUUCAUAGUUUGAAUUUGCUUACAUUUCCAUUUGCACAAAGCACUGUUUAGUCCUUCAGGACUCCUACGUGCUGCCUGGCUGCAUGUGCUCCAUCCCCACGUGACAUCAGCCCGCUGCUGUGGCUCUGCAUGGCACAUGAUCAACCACUGCAUUUGCUUGGGUCCAGUGUAGACUGGAGACAAGAAAUGAAAGCAGAAACAGAGAGAAAGAAAAGGAAAAGGACUCUCCUGUGAGACCUUCACAUGUAGUUAACAUUAAACAGUUGCAUAAAGGCUUUGUCGAGUAAGGAUGUGCUGCAUGGUUUUAACAAAGCCAUUUCCCUACACUUCCCAAACUGCCUUGCAAAAUAAAUGACUCGUCUUCUUGUUUCCAUCCGUUCAGUCCAGCUUAUACAUGCAGAAUACCGCUGAACGUGGAAUUAUAAAUCAAGAAUGUAGCUUUUGCUUGACCUGAGUAAGUAGUCAAUAUUGGAAUCUUGUCAGUUGCUUUCCAAUAGAAGAAGCAGAGAACAGAGUAGUGUGUUAUUUUGAUGUAGCCCUUGUGAUUUACAAAGAAUAUGCAAAGGUCCAUUUCUUUGGACAGAGGAAAAAUUAAGCUUCAUUCAUAUUAUCUAGUCUCUUUCAGUUAGCCAUUGGCCAGAAGAGUUCAUCCUGGCGAUGAUCCCAAAGCUAGUCCUGACAGCUUUCUUUGGAUUCUCUGUCUCCCUGCUCUCCUGGACAGGCACACACAAUGCUUUCAAACACUAUCAGCCUGCCUACUGCUGCAGUGGCACGUAGCUGUCUGUGAAAUCCCUUUAUCCAUGCAGCAUGGAUUGCUGAGCAUCACUGACUGUAGACUUCAGUUCAGGUGUUGGCUUUUUCACCAUUCCAUUUGAUAAGCAAACGUAAAGUCUAUUCUAGUUUCCACAGCCUAUUCUAUAAAGAAAUGUAUGUUUCCUACAUUUAUCCUGCAUAAAUGGCAACAGUUUAUAACCACAGAUUCCAGAACAGGGCAGGUUGAUGACAGAGAAUAUUAAUUGGCUUCUUCUUCCAAGUGUUUUUCCUUGUUCUCUCGAUUCAGGCAACUGAAGACAUUACUUUAUAAAACUCUGUGGGAACUGUACUGAUACUAGUUUGUAUGACAGUCAACAUUUAUCGGUAGUUUUGUAGUUAGUUUGCUUCCAUUUAAUGUUAAAGCAGUCUAAUCAGCAGAUGAAGGAUUUCACCUAAUGGGUUUAUAUUCAUUUGUGUAGUCGCAGAGUAGAAUUGAGCAGUCUACAAGGCACUGACAUUUACACACAUUUCAAAUUCUGUUUUGAUUUCAUUCUUGGCUUUCAGACAUUUGAUUUGGAUCAUUAUCAAGUUGUUACUGUGUUUGCUGUUGUACACUUUUGUUCUCCAAUACAGUGGAAACAGCAUUUAAUCUGGUUAUUUAAUUACAUGUAUUAACUACUUUUACCAUUUUAUGCUUUGGAAUUAAGAAUGUUGUAUUUCUGUUAAGAAAAAUCAUUGAGAGCAAGAGCUGAGGCAAAGCAUACUUUGUUUAUGCUAGGUAUGCAGAAAAUAGGCAUGCAGUGAGGGAAAAUACUCCUGAUGCUCUUAAAACAGAAUCAAAAAUAAUGGUUUUGCUCAGUAAUACAUUUUUCAUUCCUGAAUCUGAGCUAAAGCUGUGCUACAGCUGGUGCCCACGUUCUGUUUUGGUUUUGUGUACCUGAUGAAUGUAUCUGUGAUGGGCCUGUGGUUCUGGAAAAGCAUGUGUCCUAUACAUCAACCUCAAGAAAUUAAACUCCCAUUAAAAGAGAAUGUGCCCACUGUUGAGAAGAGAGGAGAACUGGGCAAAAUGGCAUGCUAUAUUUAUGUGUUAUGUGUGUCAGCAGGGUUGUAGCAGA